UUUCAUCAAAUAAUUUUUUUCUUUCUUCCUACGUGUUUCUUUCUUUUCUCCGACUGAUUUUUACUGUGGUAAUAAACUAUUAAAUCAAUUUUGGUUGAACUUAAUUGAUUACUAAAAAUGACUUAGUUAGGUAGCAUUUUUAUAAUCAAGUCCAAUCAAGUUGGUGCAAUCCAACGAAAAAAUGUGCAUAUCAGUCCCCACUUCUCUUUUUUCACACUUUUUAUAUCACAAAUUUUUAUUAGAAAGUACAAAAAUUUAUUAAAACAUUAAUUUUUGAAGCAUAACAAAAAAAAUUCAUAUAACAUAGACUUAUCUAUAAAAAUUUUGACAUAUAAUACAAAAAUUUUGUACAUAGUACAAUUUUUUUUACCAAUGUGUUUGGUUAGUUGAGUGAAUUAAUAUUCUGACGGAUAAAAAAUAUAAUUGAAAAGAUAUCAUACAGUCUCACUACAUGCGAGAUUUUUGGAUAAAGAAUAAGAUUGAAUAGAUAUCAUUUUCCACGGUAAUAUGUAUCGUAAGGAUAUUAACAGUAAUACCUAAAAUGAAAAUCUUGGCUCUGAAUAUUAUUUAAACAUAUCUUCACUAACAGUAAUAGCUAAUAAUUUUAACCAAGGUUUUGAGAACCGGACUGGUCAUCAAACUGCUUUAGUUACUGGUUCACUGAUUUACUGGUUCAACCGGUCUAAUCAUGGUUCAAUCAAAAAAAUCGUUUUAAAAUAAAAUAAUAAAUAAAUUAUAAAUAAACAUCCUAAAAUAUAAUUAUAGUCUGAUAUAUAUUUUAAAAUAUCUUCCAAACUUAUACCAUGAGACUCGGCCAAAUAAUCUCCAUGACCUAAGAGCAAUUAAGAAAUCACUAAGAGACCAACAAUAACAAACCAACCAAUUAUAGCAGUUCAUAACCCCCCAUGCAACAUAUUAGAGCCAGUGAAAUGGUUACCUUUUAUUUUUUACCCCAUUAUGCUUGUAAAGAAUACGGUAGUAUGGUACAUUACAUUAAUAACAACAUUAUGGAACCCAAAGUUCCUACAUGAAUUUUUUAUGACCACCAACCAACAAUUUAACAAGAACAACGACAGAGAGCCUCAUCCCACUAAAUGGGAUCCAUUACAUAAAUCAAAUAACAACAUUACAUCCUAUAUGUACUUAGCAUAUUUAACAUAGCCCCGAAACUUAAAGAGAAAUUAACACUAUAAGAUUAAUAUUAAGACUUGAAUGAAUAACUUCAAAAAACAUUUUUUAUGUGAUAUGUAACUCAAAGAUAUGUGAAGCUCAAAACAAUAUCUAAAAUUAUUUCAUAAAACACAAUCUCUGAAAUUAAGAAACUCUUCAUUUGGGCAAAGAAAACCUAACCACAGCAGGUGCAGCUUGAAUUGCUGAAUCAAAAACUUCAUGUAAUGUUUGCUCACUUUUCCCAAAAUACUGGGUAACAAUUUUAGGUCCAUUUAUAUGGAAAAAUUUACCCCAACAUCAUGAGCACAUAAUUGAGCCAAGGAAGUCCUCCCUGUACUAGGUGGACCAUGUAGAAGGACUCCUCUUGUGAUACGUAAACCAAAUCAUGAAGACAAUCACCAUCUAAGCAUAAUUAAGUCACAAAACAGUGAAGCACAAACACAAACACACACAAAACAACAGCAAUUCAAUUUCCAGCAGCACAUCACUUUGCAAAGCAAUCACAAAACACAAAACAUCAGCACAACAACAGCACAACAGAAAACAGUAAAGUAAAACACAACACAGCAAAAUCAACAGAACAUCAGUAAUCCUGAUCAAUAAUCAAAAGACAUUCAAUAAUUAAUUAUCAUAAGACCUUCAAUAAUCAGCGAAAUCACCACACACAAAACAGGAACAGAACAGAACCAGAGCUCAUCAGUAAUCAAAUAAUCAUUCAAAAAAAUUAACAUAAAAAAUCAAAUAAUCAGUAAUCAAAGAAGAGAGCAGGGGUUGCAGACUUUUACAACGGCACGAGAGAGCAGCCCUGCGUGCGACGGACGAUGGCAGUGGCUCGACGGACAGACGAACAACGGCUGAGUCUAGGGUUUUUAACUUUUUCUUUGGUUGAGAGGACUUGAGUUCUGGAGAGUAGAGAAGGAGAGAAGGGGGCAAGGGGCUCUCAGCGCUACCAAAGCUUUGUUUAUUUUUUCUGGGUUGUAAACGAAACGGCGACGAGACGACGGCGAGCUGCUCCAAGGCUUGAACAGAGAAGCUAGGGAUGGGGAUGACGUGCCGCGCUAGAAUAGAGGUCCUGGGUUUUGGCUCGGGAAAGGAGGAACCCGCGGAGGUGCUGACAACCACGCACGACGGUAGUAGAAUCGUUGAGGAGGAGGCUAGGGUCUUGGUUUGUCAGUAUUGUGAACUUUGCUUCAUAAGGGGAUGAGAUGAGUGUGGCAUUCGCGAAUGAGAGAGGGGUGUUGGGGGAAGGGGGUGACCGGGUGAGAGUGACGUGUUGGUUUUCCUUUUUUUCUUUUUUCCAAAAAACUCUAAACGGCGUCGUUUUUAAGGAACCGGUCGGUUUUCGGUUCGACCCAACCGGCCGGUUCUCGGCCGGUUCAAUAAUUUUUAAACGGUUCUUGACAAAGUGGUUAUAGACAGUGGAUCGGUCCAUUUUUUGUUGUCAGUUCCCGGUUGAACCGGUUCAACUGGUCGGUCCGAUCCGGUCCAAUUUUCAGAAUAUUGGUUUUGAUGCUGAAGGGGGAGAACCGGAGCUUUAAAAACCCGUUCGGUUCAGCCGGUUCACCGAUUAACCGACGGUUCGACCAGUGUUUUAACCGAUUUUUUGCCAAACGGUUUUGGGAGUUAACCGAACCGGCUAGAUGACCGGUUCGCGGUUAACCCGGUCGAACCGGUCGGUCCGGUCCGGUUUUCAUAACCUUGUUUAGAACACACACAAUAACACUGUAAUUUACUAAAUUUGAAACUGCAAUAGCUUUCAAUGACAUAAAUGAACAUCAUUCUCCAACAAAACUAAAAUAAAUUCAACCCUUUUCCCUUUACAGAUUACAAUUAUGAAAAAUGAAUUAAUAAUGAUCAGAAUUCAUAUAUUCAGAGCUCAGACUAUCACAGAACAACUAAAGAAUGCAGUAAGCCAGUAACAAACUCAAGUAACAACAAUGAAAUUUUUCUUAUAAAAUAUACCUGAAUGGAGCAGAGAAGCGGCGCAAUCGUGCAGGUAGAGAAGCGGCGUAGUCGUGCAGGGAGAGAAGCGGCGCAGUCGUGCAGGGACGUCCGGAUGUGUGCGGUUGUGCACAAAUGAACAACGGCAGAGGACACAACGAACGGUGCCAGAGACUUGACAUGCAUCAAAGCAGAAUAGAGAGCGAGACUGCGAGAGUACGGAGAAGCAGAGCAGAAAGUAGAGAGCGACGUGCAGCUGUGUGCGUAACCGAGCAAACGAAGGAGAUGCAGGUGACCGGCAGCGAAUGGCGGACGGCAGAGGUCAAAUCAUUGAGAGAGUGAGAGUGAGAGAAGAGUGAGUGACCGAGCCAAUUAGGAAAGUGGCGCCCUUUAAUCCCCAAGUAUGCUUGGCAACGUCCGAUACAAAGCGACCGAUUAGAACAACGGGUGGCAAAUUGGGUAAUUUGUAAAGGAAAAGUUCGAUUGUAGAAUCAAAAAGUUCAAAAUUUACAGAAAAGGAAGAGAGAAAAAGAAAAAGAAGAAGAACGAAUUACAGUUCGGGCGGAACAAAAGAAAGUGCAGUUGUUGUGUGACGAACGGAGAUGGACAAGUUGGAAAUCGAAUAUCCUUCGCCUUUCUCUCUCUUUUUCUAUUUCUGUCUCAGAAAAUAACAAUUAUCGUGCGUUCCUCCAGGCUCCACACCAUAAAAAUCCUAUCUAGGUCGCACUACUGUACAGAUGUAAGCUCAUACAGAUUUACAGAUAUUCCAUUUCCGUGCAUUUGCUGUUGACGCGUGUUGUCUUCCUUUUGCAGAAUGGAGCAGGUUGUCAGCAAGCUGCGGGCGCUCAUGGGAUGGUCGGCCGAGCCGAGUUGGUAGCGUGAAUUGGCACGGGAUCUCAUUGUGCUGGGUUCCGUAGGUGCCUGCUUCGCAAGUUGGGCCUUAUUGGUCGUUCCAAAAAAGAAAUAGAUGAAACGGAUGCAGGUCGAGUCUUCAAGUCACUCUUCUCCUCUCGUGAAAGCAAACCCGAGCUUCCUCCAACGCGACCGCCACCUCUGGUCUUGUCACUGUGGCUGUCAGUGGCGCUCGAGAUCUGCGACUGUUCGUCGUGGUCAAGGUCAUCUCCCCAUUCGCCAAUCACCAUUCUUCAUCAUAGUCGCAUAGUGGUGCUGCCCCGACCCAUCAUCGUGAUUACUGUGUUCAGUAGCGCUCUGCCCGCCGUCCCUCAUCGUGCUCGUCGUCCGCCGUGCUUGUGAGUCGAAGAUUGGAAUAUACAAUUAUAAGUUGACAUCUAUAUCCUUGUAGGGUCCCUUGAAUUCUAUGGCUCCUAGCCAUGAUGGGUUUUUUGGAACUCAGCAAAGCAUUCAUGGGCUGGGAGGGCAACUGGAAUUCCACCCUGCCACUUCUUUCGGAUAUAGCCUUCAGGUUUGUUCAUGGAAUGUGCUAUGUUCUAAUAUUUUGAAAUUGGAAUUACAAAUUGUUUUUUAUUUAUUUUGUUUUUGGAAUUGGAUCAUGAUAGCAUGUGAUAUAUCAUAUAAGUAGCCAAGUUAAUGUAUGAUAGCAUAGUUAGUAUAUAGUGAUAUGGUGUUAGAGAUGAACUUGUCAACAAUAUAACAAGCAAUGGUGAAACUUGUUAGUGUUACAUAAUGUAAUCUUGCUAGUACAUAGUACUUAAAUUUUCACCCUGUUGUAGUGUUUGAUGGUUACAUGGUUAUUGUUUGAAUC